rnacentral:rRNA from 1 species
ACAGCAGUAGCCACGGUAAUACGAAGGGUGCAAGCGUUAUUCGGAUUGAUUGGGUGUAAAGGGUGUGCAGACGGCUUAUUAAGUCACUUGUUAAAUUCUUCGGCCUAACUGAAGGUCUGCAAGUGAUACUGAUGAGCUAGAGGGUGGAAGGGAGAAGUGGAAUUCUCGGAGUAGCGGUAAAAUGCGUAGAUCUCGAGAGGAACACCAAUGGCGAAGGCAGCUUCUUGGUCCAUUCCUGACGUUCAUACACGAAAGCGUGGGGAGCAAACAGGAUUAGAUACCCCUGUAGUCCCUGUCUCUUAUAC